rnacentral:rRNA from 1 species
AUUGAACGCUGGCGGCAGGCCUAACACAUGCAAGUCGAACGAGUGGCGGACGGGUGAGUAAUGUCUGGGAAACUGCCCGAUGGAGGGGGAUCACUACUGGAAACGGUAGCUAAUACCGCAUACCAUCGGAUGUGCCCAGAUGGGAUUAGCUAGUAGGUGGGGUAACGGCUCACCUAGGCGACGAUACCUAGCUGGGCUGAGAGGAUGAACAGCCACAAUGGAAAUGAGAAACGGGCCAGAAGCCUACGGGAGGGAUGAUUGGGGGAUAUUGCACAAUGGGCGCAAGGCUGAUGCAGCCAUGCCGGGGGUAUGAAAAAGGCCUUCGGGUUGUAAAGUACUUUCAGCGGGGAGGAGUUAAUCGCAGAAGAAGGACCGGCUAAAUCCGUGCCAGCAGCCGGGGUAAUUC